UCAAAAUAAAUUAGUGGAGGAAAAAGAUAUAACAUGUUAACACUAAUCAACAGAAAGCAGGAGUAGCUAUAUUAAUUUCAGACAUAGCAGAUUUCAGAGCAAGGAAAGUUAUCAG